AACAGAAAACAGAGUUAUUGUAACUAGAUUGCCAGAGAGCAGAAAAUUUACCAGGGAGAAGGCCUGGAAGUUAUACCAGAUCAACUCAAAAUUACAGUUUUUCAGAGCUUAUAUACCUUCUAAGCUAUACGUCUACGUGUAGUUGUGCGUUCAUCUAAAGACGCUGUGAAGUCAAAAGGAAAAUGUAAGAGGCUGCCGAGUUCUCAGAGUGGGAUGAAUAGAAUCAUUCAUGUUCAUCUGGAGAGAAACAAGUUUUCCUGUGACUGAAUAUUAAGAGAAGUAUAUUAGAAGUCUCUUUUUCUAAAAGUUCAUAAGGUAGCAUAACACAUAAUAUAGUGCUUUUUUGCAAAGAAAAUGAAAAGUGUUACAAAAAUAUACCUUUCUCAUGCCAGUCUUCCAUAAAUGCUAAGGUCAUAACUGAAUUUAGAUUUUAUGUAAUGGUUUUGGGGGGAAUGAAAAUAAUUUGAUGGAGUAUAUUAUUUUUUGAUGCUCAGAAACAAAAUACAGUGAAAAGAGUUUGAGAGUCUUGUCUAUAUGUGUAAUUUAAUAUUUUGCUUAGACUGAGCCUCCCUCUUGCAUUAGAUAUACUUGAAGUGGGCUUUUUUGGCUAGUGCUAGAUCUCCGUAAGUUUGAAUUUUCAGAUGAGUGUUAAAGUAAUAAAAUGUUCUGCCAUUGGUUCAAAGAGGCUUAGAAUAUUAGGGAUGUUGGCAGGAAUGUUGACAUCCCACUGUGAAAAGCAUUUUUCUCUUCUUAGUGGAACUCUCACUGUUGCAAACCUCUUCUGAUUAGAUAAUGGAGGAGACCAGAUUUUGAGAGCACAUGACUUAGUCUUAAGCCCUCUAAAAAACAACGUAAAUCUCAAGUAUCUUUCCUAGCAUUGCUAACGAUGAUUAAAGAUUAUAGCUACAAGGUCAUUAGGCAUUAAACGAUUUUGAGGCCCAGUGUUGUUUGUUUCUUUCCCAGACAGUGGAAUAAUUACUGAUUAAAGCAUGGAGUCUCAACUCUCAAUGUGUUUGCAGAUGGUCAGGGAAUAAAACUCUGAACUAUUAUUUCAGCAGAAAUAAUGUUUUAUAUAUAUUCAUUAUGAAUAAGAACAAAGCCUUAAAAAUUUGGUUGAUCUUUUGCCCCAAAAUCACUUGGCAAUGCUUGCUAAAAAACAGAAAAUAAUUCAUGUAAAUACUAAAAUCUCUAUUUUAAACAAAACUUCCAGGUGACUUAUAUACAGGAGUCUUUGUGGACACUUUGAGAAAUAAUGGAUGAGAAUGGUAACCUUAUAUUUAAUGGAUCGACUGGUCAUUUUGAUUGUGUGGACACCCAGUUAAAGUGUAAUGACUAAGGUCAUCUCUAAAGACUGAUUUUAAUGAUCUCCUUACAAUUUUACUUGAAGGGAGUUAUUCAUGUUAUUCUCCAGGCAUGAAAUGUAAUGAUCUGUUUUAUUAUUGUUAAUUUAUGCUCAAGCUUCCUUUUGCUCUUCUUUUUAACCAACAUAACAAUUAUACAGUCUAACUAUUUGCCUCAGGGAGAUGCUGUAAUAGGACUAAUUAAAUAUUUAAUAUUUUAAAGGACUUAAACAACCUUGUAAGUAAUAUGUUAAGAGGAGAUAAAAUCAUGAUGAUCUCCUUAGUAGGAGGAAUGUUAAUGAAGCACUGGGGUCAGGCAUUCCUUUAAUGCCCAUGUCUUGUAUCUGCCAGAGGCUGAAUGGUUUAAUGGUUAAAUACAAGACUGUUGUAACCUAUGGCUGUUCUUCUACUUCCUAGUUGGAAAGCCUAGAACAAAUUUUUUAACCUUCCUAUGCCAAUCUCAUAUUUCUCACCUUUAGAGUGAGGAGAUAAGAAUACCACCUACCUUUUUGGAUUGUUGUGAUGACAUAUGAGGUAUGUGUCUAUCGAAAGAAAGUGGUUUUUAUUAAUAUGAAUUAAUACCAUAACUAUUGGUAUUACAAUAUCAGUUCAAUACAAGUAUUGAAUUCAAAACUUAUAGAUUCUUAUUUUAAAACUAGCAAUAAAAUGGAUAUGUACUU